rnacentral:lncRNA from 1 species
GUGCUGUCCAGCUGUCUUUGGAUUCAGAGGGACUUGAGAGACCUACUAACCAAAUGCAAUGUGUGGUCCUUGUGUGGAUCUUGGCUCAGAUGGACCAGCUGCAAAAGACGUUAUGGCAACAAUUGGAGAGAUCUGAAUACGGAUCGGGUACCAGGUAACAUGAAAGAAUUAUUGUUCGUUUUGUUAGGUAGAGUGGUAUAGGGUUAUGGAAGAAAAGUCCUUAUUUUUAGAAAAUAGAAAUAUGAAAGUGUUAUGAAGUAAAAUGUCAUGUCUGUAAUUUAUUAUAAAUGCUUUGGCAAAAAAUAGGAAGCAAAUCUGGCAAAAUGUUAAGAAUGGUUAAGUUUAGGUAAUGCAUAUAUGGGAGGUCAUUACACUAUUUUUUUCUAUUUUUCCAUAUGUUUGAAAAUGUUCGUAAUAAAAAUUUUAUAAUAAACAAAAUUAGUAAAAAAACAAAACAAAACAAAACAAAACAUCUACCACCAAGGUGAAAAUGAUGGUUCAGCAUUGAGAAAGAAAGCAAAUAUUUUUCUGGAAUAAAAUAUAUGGAGAGAACAUUUUGAAAGUUUAUAUUUUACUGAUCAAAGAAAAACAAGUGGGUCGUCUACCUCCUGCCUUACUUUUUAAAAUUGGGGGAAAAACAAUUGACCAACCAACCCAAAAAGGAAAUUGAGAAAAUAAUUUCAUUUACAAUAGCAAUAAAAAGAAGAAAAUACUUAGGAAUAAACUUAACCAAGGAGGUGAAAGCCUCCUAUCCUAAAGACUACAACACAUUAUUAUUUUUUAUUUUUUACCAUUUAUUUAUUUUUUAGUCAGAGAGAGAGCAGGGGAGGGGUAGAGACAAAGGGAGAGAGAGAAUCCCAGGCAGACUCUGCACUGGAGUACAGAGUCCAACACGGGGCUCGAGCUCACAAACCAUGAGAUCAUGACCUGAGCUGAAACCAAGAGUUGGACACUUAACUGAGCCACCCAGGUGCCCCAUAAAACUUAUUGAAAGAAAUUAAAGAAGAUGAAUAAGUGGAAAGAGAUCUUGUAUUCAUGGACAGAAGACUUGACAUUGUUAAGAUAUCAAUUCUACCCAAAGCAACCUACAAAUUCAGUGCACUCCCUAUCAAAAUCCCAAUGACAUUUCUCAUAGAAAUAGAAAAAUACAUUCUAAAUUCAUAUAGAAUCUCAAGAAACUCAGCAUAGCCGAAACAAUUUUGAAAAGGAACAAAGUUGGAGGACUCACACUUCUUGAUUUCAAAACACAUUACAAAGCUACAAUAAUCAAAACGGUGUAGUAUCGGCAUUAACACAAAUAGAAGAAUGGAAUAGAAUAGAAAGCCAAGAAAUAAGCCUUUGUGUAUAUGGUCAAAUGAUGUUCAACAAAGAUGCCAAGAGCACUCAAUGGGGGAAAGACAGUCUUUGCAACAAAUGGUGUCGGGAAAACUGGAUAUCCACAUGUAAAAGUAUAAAGUUGGACUUUAGCUUACACCAUAGACAAAAAUUAACUCAAAAUUGAUUAAAGAUCUAAAUUUAAGACCUAAAACUGUAAAACUCCUGGAAGAAAACAUAGAUGAAAAGCUCAUGAGAUUGGCAAUUAUUUCUUGGUUAUGACACCAAAAACACAGACAACAGAAGCAAAAAUAGACAAAUGUGACUACAUCAACCUUAAAAACUUUUGUGCAUCAAAGGACACAGCCUAUGGAAUGGGAGGAAAUAUAUGCAAAACAUAUACUUGAUAAGGGGCUAAUAUUCAGAAUAUAUAAAGAACGCUUCCAACUCAACAACAAAAAUUCAAAUCACCCAACUGAGAAUAAAUAUUUCUCUAAAGAUAAUAUAGAUGGUCAACAGGCAUAUUAAAAGAUGCCAAUAUCACAAAUCAUCAGAGAAACGUGAAUCAAAACCACAAUGAAGUAUCACCUCACACCCAUUCAGAUGUCCACUAUGAAAAACAACACUAGAAAAUAGUAAGUGUUGGUGAGGAUGUGGAAAAAUUAGAACCCUAGUGCACAGAGGGUGCGAUUGUAAGCUAGUCCCACUGCUAUGGAGAACAGUCUGGAGAUUCCUCAGAAAAUUAAACACAGAACUAUCAUACGAGGUAGCAACCCCAUUUCUGAGUGUAUAUCUAGAAUAAUUGAAAUCAGAAUCUUGAAGAGAUAUUUGCACACUCAUGUUCACAGCAGCACUGUUCACAAUAGUAAGAGACAGAAGCAACCCAAACAUCCAAUGACAAUUGAAUGGAUAAACAAAAUGUGAGAUACACACACACACACACACACACACAUUAUUCAGUAUUAGGAAGGAAAGAAAUCCUGGGACAUCUGGAUGGCUCAGCUGGUUAAGCGUCUGACUUUGGCUUAGGUCAUGAUCUCAUGGUUUGUGAGUUCGAGACUCACAUCGGGCUCUGUUCUGACAGCUCAGAGCCUGGAGCCUGCUUUGGAUCCUGUGUCUCCCUCUCACUCUGUCCCUCCCCGUUCACAUUCUGUCUCUCUGUCUCUCUCUCAAAAAUAAACAUUAACAAAAUUUUUUUUUAAAAAGGAAAGAAAUCCUAUCACAUGCUACAACAAGGAUAUACCUUGAGGACUUUAUGCAAGUCAUGAAAGACAAAUAUGGCAUGAUUUUACUUAUAUGGGGUAUCUAGAGUAGUCAAAUUCAGAGACAGAAAGUAGAAAGGUCAUUCCCAGGAGUAGGGGAGAGGGGAAAAGAAGAGUUAAUGAGUAUAGAGUUUCAUAUCUACAAGAUAAAAAAUUCUGGAGAUCCAUUCACAACAAUGUGAAUAAACUUAAUACUCCUGAAUAAUACACUUAAAAAUGGUUAACAUGGUAAAUUUUAUGUUAUGUGUUUUUUACCACAAUAAAAAAUGGGGGGGGGGCAAAACUUGGGAACAGAAUGGUUGGGCUGUUUAAAAGCUUCCAAAUGAAGUAUUUCAGUAGGUUUUGAAAUGAAAUACUUUGUUAAUAUAUAUGAGAAUAUGGCACCCUCUGAUUAGUCUGCAAAAACAUCAGGGAACAUAGUGAUUUACUGUCUACAUGUCACCAUAAUUGUUGGUGGAAGAGAGAAAAAGAAGUAUCACAAUUUAGGAGAGCAUACCCAAUGAUGUCCUUACUACAUUUACUUCUUAUGAGGAAUAUUUUUCGAUUACAAGAGAUAUCAAAAGGAAGUGUUAAAAGAAACAGACCUAUGGGGUGUCUGGAUGGCUCAGUCAGUUAAGUGUCUGACUUCGGCUCAGGUCAUGAUCUAAAGGUUCAUGGGUUCGGGCCCUGCAUCAGACGGUGUACUGACAGCUCAGAGCCUGGAACCUGCUUGGGAAUCUCUCUCUUCCCCUCUCUCUCUCUGCCCCUACCCAGCUCUCGCUCACUCUCUCAAAAUAAAUAAGUAAACUUAAAAAAAAAUUAAAAAAUAAAAGAAACAGACCUACCUUCAAAUUAUGUUACACAAAAUAUUGAGUCAACAUUUAAAAAAAUUAAAGUGAAUUGAGUUAUGUAUAAUUCAAAGUACUACUAAUACAAAUAAUUUAAUCAGAACUAUUCAUUAUAAUAAACAAUUGGCCUAUGAAUACACUUCUUUUUUUUUUCAUGUUUUUUAUUUAUUUUUGAGAGAGACCACCUGCAGGGGAGGGGCCGAGAGAGAGGGAGACAGGAUUUGAAGCAGGCUCUGUGCUGACAGCAGAGAGCCCGAUGCUGGGCUUGAACCCACGAACCAUGAGAUCAUGACCUGAGCUGAAUUCUGACGCUCAACCAACGGAGCCACCCAGGCUCCUGACCUAUUACUAAAUUUCUAAAAUAUUUAUUAAGUAUUUAUUUCCUGUUUAGUUCAUUCUUUAAAAUUUUUUUUUGUUACAGUUCCCGUAUUUUUACUGAUGUAUAACAACUUUGGGGUCAUUGCUGGAAAGUUCAGGAAUUUAUUAAUAUUCACAAAUCCUGGAGACUUGUGUCCAGUCUCUUCCAGGAAUUCUGAACCAGAUGUAAGAAUAGGCUAUGGUAGAAGAGGAGGGAGAGAGAAAAGAGGAGAGGAGUCUGGGAGGAAAGAGAAUGAGUUUGGUUUUAAUCUGAUUUUCAAGCUCUUCCAAUUAUUAAGAACAACACUAUAGAGCUUUCCAUAAUGAAGGAAUGUUCUAGAUCUCUGCUGUCUGAUACAGUAGCCACUAGCCAUAUGUAGCUACUGAGCACUUGAAAUGUAGUUAUUGUGACUGAGGAAUGGAAUUGUUUAAAUUAAUUUAUUUUGAGAAAGAGAGAGAAAGUGUGUGCAUGCAUGUGCAAGUGGGGGAGGGGCAGAGAGAGAGAGAGAGAGAGAGAGAGAGAGAGAGAGGAGGGAGAAUCCCAAACAGGCUCUACCUUCAGCUCAGGGCCUGAUGCAGGGCUCCAUCUCACAGCAAGAGUUAGAUGCUUAACAAACUGAGCUAUCCGGGCGCCCCCCGAGGAACUGGAUUUAAAAUUUUGUUUAAUUGAGGGGUGCCUGGGUGACUCAGUUCAUUAAGUAUGUGACCCUUGAUUCAGGCCGAUUCAGAUCGGUUCAGGUCACGAUCUCAUGGUUUGUGAGAUCGAGCCCCACGUUGGGCUCCACGCUGAUGGCACGGAACCUGCUUGGGAUUCUCUUUGCCUUUCCCCCAUUCAUUCUCUCUCUCUCUCUCUCUCUCUCUCUCUCUCAAAAUAAAGAAAAAAUAAACAUUAAAAAAUUCUAUUUAAUUAAAAUUUAAAUGGUCACAUAUGGCUAAUGGCUACUGUAUUGGACAUUGCAGUGCUAGAAAGAACCCACGGCCAAACAUGCCUUAAAUAUUUAGUGACUGAAGGGAAAUACGAAAUGUGGGAGCCUGGCAAUGGAGAGCUGCACACGUGUCAACGUGAAGACAUAAGCUGGUGCCGGGAUGUAGAGGUGGCAUAAUCUGAAUGAUGUAGGUGGCUGAGUCAUGCCAAAGGGCUCUUCCGUUUUCUUUUUUACCUUGAGGAAAGGUUUACAAUUUCUGUGUUGUUGCAGAAUGGAAAUAUAACUUAUGUGUCACAACUUACUUGCCUACAAAAUGUGUGUGUGAUACACUUUUUGUCGCUUUAAUCAUAUCUCAUAGUUUCAAAUUAUUUUUUUAAUGUUUUAUUUAUUUUUGAGAGAGAGAGAGAGAGAGAGAGAGAGAGAGAGAGAGAGAGAGCAGGGAAGGGGCAGAGACAGAAGGAGGUAUAGAAACUGAUCCAAGCUCGGAGCUGUCAACACAGAGCCCGAUGCGGGGCUUGAAUUUGUGAACUUCGAGAUCAUGACCUGAGCUGAAGUCGAAUGCUUAACCAGUGAGCCACCCAGGCGCCCCUCAAAUUAUUUUUCCUUUGCAAAGUUGCAAGUGGGGGGACAUGUGCCUCUUCUCCUUUACCCCAUACUCUGGGCUUAUAAUUUCGUCAGUGCAAAUGGAGGAACUUCAGUCUUCCUCUCUUCAGGGCUGUAGAUGGCCACUAGAUUUCAAGUUCUCUCUGCCCCUUUGUUAAACUUCCUCCUCCGAAAGAUAUCUCCUUAGAUGCUGAUAUAAAGUUCCUUUAACAGCAAGCAAAAUCUUUUGUUCCCCAAUUAGAGAUAAAGGUGUAUGAUAGAAAUACUACCUGCCAUCAAAAAAGAAACACACAUGCUAAGAAAAAAAUUCAAUCAGUGAAUUGAGGAGGCCCUCAGCUCCUUCCCUACGAAGGAGAGGUGGACUGAAAAGGGAAACCAUUAGUUCCGUUUAAAAAAGGGUUCAGGGACGCCUGGGUGGCUUAGUCGGUGGAGCGUCAGGCUCUUGAUUUUGGCUCAGGUCAUGAUCCCAGGGUUGUGGGAUCGAGCCCCUUGUCAGGCUCUGCACUGAGCCUGGAGCCUGUUUGAGAUUGUCUCUCUUUCUCUCCCCCUUUGCCCCUCUCCCCUUCUCUUUCUCUCUAAAAUAAGAAAAAGGGGUGCAAAUGGCAAUAGUGUUUUUUUAAUGUAUAUGGUGGGGAUAAAGAAGAACCAUAUUUUCAGCAUCAUCAUCACUUUGCCUUGAGCUAAAUGGGAAGAACAAACUGGAAGCAGCUCUGGGCUGUGAGUUUAGAACAACUCAGGGGUGAGUUGUCUCUCGGGACAUUGUAAAUUCUUGGGGGACAGGGACCAAGUACGAUAUAUUUCCCGCCUGCAUCCCAGUAGUUUCCAGCAUGGUGCCAAGUACAUGGAGUAUAAGAGUCUGUUGGAAAAGUGAGAGGAUAUAACUUUUGAAAACCUAUUUAAGUCCUGGAGCACUGCCUACGCAGUGAGCAUUUUCUUUUCCCCUUGAACAAAGUGGAUGAGAAAAUUAACUGAUUAAAAACUUCCUGGGCAUGAUGUUACCUCCCCAUCUUUGCUCCUCACUGAUGAGAACUUAGGCUGAAGAGCUCUUCUAGAGAGUUCUUUAGCAGCAGCCAAUUUACUAAUGAAAAUCAGUGCUAACUAUGCGAGCAUUUUGGAAAUUAAGAUAAGGAGGAUUUCCGUGUAGACUCAGAUUUUUUCAUUUGUCAAGGCAAGAUUUAUCAUGGGAAAAAUGAUGACAUUUUACUGAAAGACGUUAAGGAAUAUCUAAAUAAUUGCAUAUGUUUAUGACUAGGAAGAUGCAAUGCCACACAUGUGUCCCUUUCCCCAGAACGGAGCUAUGGAUACCAUGUAAUUCCAUGCAUUAUUCCAAUAAAGUCAUCCUGGAACCCCAAAAGCUGAUUUGAAAAUUUGCGUGGAAGAGUCAAGAACCAAGCAUAGUCAAGACACUCUCAACACAGGAAGGGCAAGGUGGUGGGGAGGUCCUGCUCUACUGCCUGUCAAGACUUAUUAAAGAGUCGGAGUCAUUAAGGCACUGUGAUAUUGUCACAGGAGAGACGACUAGACAUGAGGCGCAACGGAAGGGCCAGAAACAGGAACACAAGUCUGUGGAAACCGGAGACGUGCCAUGAGGGGCCAUCGCAGGAGGAGGAAGGGAUAGAUCGGUUGACACAUGGCUCCAUGACCCCACGAAAGACUUGGUGCUCUAUGCUUUCACUGCCACACCUGCAACAGCACUGCACCCAGUCUCGAGGGUUAACCGGCGUCACGUUUAUGCUCUCCUCGAUUGCUAACCCAAGUCCCUUGAUCUGUAGCAGAACUAACUUACUCACUUUGCGAUUUGCAGCCACUGGCCUUGAGGAGCGAAGGACCAAAUGUUCCCAGAAGAUAAGGCCUGACUACAUUCGAAAACAGCUGCCACGGAUGCCAGCAAGUCUGUUCAGGGUCAUGUCCACAUAUGACUAACGACCUGGGCACUUGCUUCUUCUGCACAUAGCUCCCUGCCCUUUCCCUGUGCCUUCCCCUUUGAAACCUUCCAGCUUCCCUUGGAUGAGGAAGGUGGUCUUUGAGACAUCAGUCCAGCAUCUCCCCAGGUUUCCGGCCUCCUGAAUAAAGCAACCCUG